rnacentral:rRNA from 1 species
AGAGUUUGAUCCUGGCUCAGGACGAACGCUGGCGGCGUGCCUAACACAUGCAAGUCGAGGGUUUGAUUUAUCAAGCACUGGCAUCCGGGUGAGUAACGCGUAGGUCAUCUGCCCCUAUCACAGACAUAACAGUUCUAACGGACUGCUAAUAUCUGAUGAGGCGAGCAAUCGUCAAAGCUUUGGCGGAUAGGGAUGAGCCUGCGUCUGAUUAGGUAGUUGGUGAGGUAAUGGCUCACCAAGCCUUCGAUCAGUAGCUGGUCUGAGAGGACGAACAGCCACACUGGAACUGAGACACGGUCCAGACUCCUACGGGAGGCAGCAGUGAGGAAUAUUGGUCAAUGGGCGCAAGCCUGAACCAGCGACGCCGCGUGCGGGAUGAAGGGGCUUUGCCUCGUAAACCGCUGUCGGAUGGGACGAAAGGUGGCUUUGAGCCACUGGGACGGUACCAUCAAAGGAAGGAUCGGCUAACUACGUGCCAGCAGCCGCGGUAAUACGUAGGAUCCGAGCGUUGUCCGGAGUUACUGGGUGUAAAGGGUGCGUAGGCUGUUCUGUGCGUCAGAGGUGAAAUCCACGGGCUUAACUCGUGGGGUGCCUUUGAUACGGCAGGGCUUGAGUACGAGAGAGGUGCGUGGAAUUCCUGGUGUAGCAGUGAAAUGCGUAGAUAUCAGGAGGAACACCGGUGGCGAAGGCGGCGCACUGGCUCGUAACUGACGCUGAGGCACGAAAGCGUGGGGAUCAAACAGGAUUAGAUACCCUGGUAGUCCACGCCUUAAACGAUGCAUGCUUGGUGUUGGUCUCGCAAGAGAUCAGUGCCGUAGUUAACAUGAUAAGCAUGCCACCUGGGGAGUACGAUCGCAAGGUUGAAACUCAAAGGAAUUGACGGGGGCCCGCACAAGCGGUGGAUCAUGUGGUUUAAUUCGAUGCAACGCGAAGAACCUUACCCAGGCUUGAAGUCUACGUGGUAAAGAGAUGAAAGUCGACUGACCCGCAAGGGAGCGUAGAGAGGUGCUGCAUGGCUGUCGUCAGCUCGUGUCGUGAGAUGUUGGGUUAAGUCCCGCAACGAGCGCAACCCUCGUCGUAUGUUGCCAGCGGGUAAUGCCGGGGACUCAUACGAGACUGCCGGGGUCAACUCGGAGGAAGGUGGGGAUGACGUCAAGUCAUCAUGCCCCUUAUGUCUAGGGCUGCACGCAUGCUACAAUGGCCGGUACAAAGGGCUGCGAUACCGCGAGGUGGAGCGAAUCCCAAAAAGCCGGUCUCAGUUCGGAUUGGGGUCUGCAACUCGACCCCAUGAAGUCGGAGUCGCUAGUAAUCGCAGAUCAGCAACGCUGCGGUGAAUACGUUCCCGGGCCUUGUACACACCGCCCGUCACGUCACGAAAGUCGGCAACACCCGAAGCCGGUGGCCUAACCCUUUUGGGAAGGAGCCAGCCGUCGAAGGUGGGGUAGAUGAUUGGGGUGAAGUCGUAACAAGGUAGCCGUA